AUGCAGCUGCUGCUCGUGACAGUAUUAGGGAUGAAUUUUGGCCUGAGACAGAUCGGAGCCCAGUCAGUGACCCAGCCUGAAGUCCAAGUCUCUGUGUCCGAAGGAUCCUCACUGGAAUUGAAGUGCAACUUUUCUUAUAGUGGAACUCCUUAUCUUUACUGGUACGCCAAUUACCCCAGCCAAGGCUUCCAGUAUCUCCUCAAGUACUAUGCCGGGGAAACCCGGGUUAAAGGUCUCAAUGGUUUUGAGGCUGAAUUUAAGAAAAGUGAAUCUUCUUUCAACCUGAAGAAACACUCUGCUGGCUGGAGCGACUCUGCUGAGUACUUCUGUGCUGUGAGUAGAAGCAAUGGAGACUCAGUGACCCAGACAGAAGGCCAAAUAGCCCUCUUUGAAGGGACUUUUCUGACUGUGAACUGUUCCUACACUACCACACAGUACCCUGCCCUUUUCUGGUAUGUCCAAUAUGCUAACAAAGGUCUACAGCUUCUCCUGAAAGCCACAGUAGCCAAAGACAAGGGAAGUUACAAAGGAUUUGAAGCCACAUACGAUAAAGAAACAUCUUCUUUCCACUUGGAGAAAGCCUCAGUGCAAGAGUCAGACUCAGCUGUGUACUACUGUGCUCUGAGCGACACAGUGAUGGGAACUGCAGGGGGAGCUGCGCGCAAACCCUAG